GCUAAUUGUUGUGACUAUGUUGAAAAACAUUUGAGAAUUUGCUCUAUCAAACAGUCUUUCUAUGCUCUUUGUAUCCAUUGUAAUUUUGGGAAUAAAUUGAAAGCAAUGCCUCUUAUUUCUGAGUGACCUAUAUAGAUCUAUUAAAAAUGUAACUAGUGCAUUUAGAAGUCACGGUAAGGGAGACCAAGGUUCAAAGACCUCUGUAUCCUCUUCUUAUUUGUUUUACUACAAUUUCUAUCGUUUCUUCAAAAACUCAAAGCAAAAGAAACAAACUAAAACAAACAAACAUGGUCACUGUCCCUAAUUGAAGUUGCCAAUUGCUGUAUCAUCACUGAGUAGUUCUAUGUAUAGAUAUUGACUUGCCUUAUUAGUCAUCAGCACCCAAUAUUACAAUCUGACUCAUACCAGAUUUAAUUGGAUACUGAUAGAUGAGUGAAUUGUUUCAGAUAAAAUAAGAAAUUACUUAAAAGUGUUUUGCAUUAAAUCAUGCUCUUUUGCUUUCUGAAAUUAUCUUUUUAAAGUGUAUGGCACUGUAUUUUCUAAGUCGGAGCAUGGUAGUUUCCCAGUAUACUGUGAAAAUGUGUCCUUAGGAGUUGGCUGACCCCAUGUGUACUGGAUUUCAAAUCCAUACCAAAACAACUGGUGCACAUCAGAUGUACCCAGGCUAGCUCAGUGAACCCAAACUCAAGUUAUUUGUUAACUCUCUCUGGUCAUACCAUUGUUAACACAGACAAGCUUCUGGGCAAAUUUUUAGGAAGCUGUAGUAUUUUGUGGUCUUAGAUCUUCUAAAGGUUGUGAUUCACAACCUUUAUUCAUUAGUAGGCGUCUGAUUCAUUGCUGAUUAUAGUGGAAAUAGAUUUUUAUGUUGCACUAUAGUUGUUCAUACUGGUUUAUAAAGACAGUGUAAUUAUUUAUAUUAUUGAUGUCUAUCUGGAGCAUUUACGACUUGUCUGUAAAAUCUAUCACCUGCCAAGCAAGAGUGAGGAACAAUUUCUAUUUGAAAGGAAUUUGAAGUGGUCCUUUUUUCUUUAUGAAAAGACUGGGUUUUUUUUUGUUGUUGUUGUAUUUCUUCUGUUUUUGUUUGAAGUUUCAAAGCAUGUAUGAUAUUUUCAGUAGAGUAUAGAAUGUGAACUUUCACAAAAAUAAAAAAUAAUUAUAUGUUGGCUAUAAAAUAUAUAAUAUCUACAUAUUUCAUAGCCUCACAGUCACAUUUGGAUUUUCUAGGGUAGAAAUUUGAAUAUUUGGAGGUAAUAAAAUGCUACAGGAAAUAAACCUUACAGUUCAUUUCUAUUCUCUGGAAAGGAAUGAAAAGCCUUAAUUUUCCAUGAAAAGGCUAUUCUGUGCAUGCACCAGCUCUGUUUGAAUUUAAAUGGCUUACCUAGGAAUGGUUCAGAUGAAAUAGAAUAUUAUUUAGGUAUGCAGGCUACAUAUUCUGAUAUAUUAAGUGAUUUUCAUGCAUUUCUACCAUCAAAAUACUGUUUUUUUUCUUGUUGUUGUUUGAACACCACUUUCUGCCUCUUUGCUAGUUAAAGCCAGAUGUCUAGGCUCCUCCGUUUCUUUGUUGUUGGCUGUGAGUGGCGAGGCGUCUUUCUUCCCAGUUCUUAAACUUUUAAUUCCAGUAAGCUGUACUCUAUUCCUCUCGCAGUACCCUGCCUUUUCUCCAAGCCAAGGAUUGUGGUAUUUGUGAUCUCUGAGACCUGCGUUCCUUUGUGUGUGAUAUUGCCUUUGGGGCACUGUCAUGCCUUUGGGGCAACCACAGGGCUCUGGGAGGAGUCUGGGCUGCCUGGUGGAGCUCGGAAGGCACCUCCACAGUCUCUGGAAGUCUGCGUCUUGGAGCACCUGGAGGCUCUCUCAUUUAUGGAGGCCUCUUCUUGAUUUCUGUUAGUCAUCACAGAUUAGAUGCAUCACAGCCUGUAACUUGAGGAGACUGAUUCAGACUGAAUAGUGAGGACACAGUGCCAUCAGCCUUUGAAGAACACGCUCAUUUCAUUUCACCUUGGAAAGAAAAUUUAUACUGAUGUCAUAUCAUAGAUUUGAAACCCACUUCAUGUGUAAUUGCUAUUGCACAUUUGAUGGAAUUGCCUGAGAAUUUCAGAAGUCUAACACAUGGCUGGGAGAGCUGACUGAUGGUAUCAGAUGCUGAAUGUUCUCUGGUGCAGUCUCAUGCUUAAAGAAACUAUCCUUCUGGGAUGCUUUUAUUCGGAAUAAGAAAAUGAUAGAAGGAAAUCUGAUGCUGAGUAUUUUCAAUGCAGUUUGUUCCAGGAUGGUUUGUUUAGCUUUCAGGUUCUCUUUGGUAAGCAAUAACUGUUAGUUCUCCCAUACCAUAUCUAUUUCAGAGACUGAGACAACUGAAUAAGGUGUUAGCAACUUUGCAAAAGUUACUGUGUAUUAUGGACUAAUGGAGUUUGUGCCAAUGGUAAUUGAAAGAAAUUAUCUGAGAACAGAUUUGUCCUGGUCACAGGCAGAUUUGCUCUGCCCUGCCUGAGCAGAAAGCUCUUCCUGUAAUUUCAAAGAAAUGAUUCUUAGGAAUGAACACAAAACAUUCUAGGAACAAGAACUAUUCUUCUUCUUCUUUUUUGUAUUCUUCUUUUUUGCAGUUCCACUUAAGCAAAGGAUGGAUACUGAGCAGUCACUUGUCAUAUUUGGAUUUUAUGUUUUCUUCCAAGUAUGUAUAGGAAACAGAAUAGUUUGGAUGAAUAGAAGAAGGAGCAGUGUCAAUAGUAGGUAGAAUUGGUUCUCAGGGAUGUUAAUCAAAGACAGGAAGGAUAACAUCUGGGAAUAAAUGCAUCUUUGAAGAAGUGUGAGCACAUGUGACUUUGUCUAGAGAAAUCCCCCAGACUGACUGGCAGCUGGCUUAGGAUUUAAGAAUCUGUUACACAGAUCACAAGAACUUUUCAGGUCUCAGUAAACUGCCUAGUAAUUAUUUAUCUGACUCUUGCUUGCCAAGUAUUAAUUAGACAAGCAUCCAUCUCUCUAUCAAUUGUAUAUAUUGGGACUGUAGAGCAUUUGAUUCAGUGUUAGGUCUGUAUUUUAUCAACCAUCUGGCCUGCUGUCAGCAGAGUCCUCAUUUCCACCUCAAACUGGGGAUAGGAAAAGCCUACCUAAAGACUGUAUUUGACAGUGAUGCUCACCCAUGACACAAGGUUUUAAGAAAGUCUUGGAAAUAAACUGAUAGCACUUAGCUAUAAAAAGCACGGUCUAAUAUUGUUCUGUGGUCUCUAUAAUUGAUAGUUAUUGCCUUUUUAAAAAGAAGUCUAAAUUGCAAGGUGAUUUCAGAUGAGAAUUAUGAGUUGUCUAUUGCUUGCAUACUGACAUUCACCUUUUUUGGAGCUGUUUGGAGCCUAUUCCAAAUGAAGAAAAUUCAGAAUCACUCACUUCUAUCUGGCAAUCUGCUGUGCAUUGUUCCGGGCCUUGUCAUUUACCUUGUCUGACUCAGUCUGAGUAGCGUAAUCAUGAACCUUGUGUAUUUAAGACAUAUAAGUGUUGUUUCUGGUUAAAAAUAGGAAAUCAAGCCAGUAGAAAAAGAAGAGAAUUGAGAUUUAGACUUCGUGCUUGGGGAUUAAUCUGGAGGAAUUCUUAUCCCAUUGGAGUCACUGAAUUCACACUAAUGUAACGUAGUCAGGAACUUGACAUGGGUAUUUGUAAUGUAUCAGAAAGUUCUCCAUGGUAAGUUAUAACUGUCAUCCUUUAAAGUGGGUACGUAAGUUGAUAUGGCAAUAGUAAGAUGAGUAGUAGUCUGAACUAGAAUUUGUUUACAAGUCAAAUUACUGCAAGUGAAUUUGGUCUGCUUGCUGUUUUGCAGUAGCUUUGUGUGUCUUCCUGAGACAGUUCUUUACUGAAAAAUAGUGCAUAGUGGGAUGCAGCAUCUUUGCUAAAUACCUGAAGCUAACUUCAGUAUGACACAGGAUCAGAGUUACCUGCCUGGACUCCAAAGACAGCAAGCAGUUACUGAGGUGCAGUGCUUCUGCUUAGUUAAAAAACUGUUAGCGGCACCUCUUGUACAGUGUUGUGCUAUAUGGCUGCUUCAUUUUGGUUCUGAAUCACAGCUUGCUGAAGGAGAUCUGCACCAUCUGUCUUUAUAAAGAGAAGGCAUAUCCUCACCUUGGAGUCUCUCUUUGCAUGUGAACUAAUCUUUGUGAAGUGUUUGCACAAAAGAAAAAAGAAAAUUUUAAUAUUUCCUUAUCCAGGUUUGAUGGCAUUGCUGUAAGACAAGGUUGUGAGUCAUUUUACUACAGCUUUAAUGUUUAGCAGUAUUUAAGUAUUUUUACUGACAACUAGCAGAAUUUAAAAAUCUAAGCUAAAGGAAGAAAACUUCCUUAUACUUUACCCUGCUGCAAAACAGCUCAUUGUUUUACUGAGAAUUUUUCUGUUGCCCAUAUUCAGGUUGAAAAUUUAUGUUAUGAUUUUCUAUUAAUUUUAGUUGAGUCUGCUUUCUGUUUUUGUUUUUGUCUUUUUUCUCCAAAUAAAGCACCUCCUGACAAACAGAGUGCAAGAUAACAUACUUUUCUGUAGGUUGAUCCUUGUCAUCAGAUGUGAUUGUAGAGAUCUGACAAAGGUCAAGUAGGAAUCUCCCAAAGCUUAAGAAUGUAGACAUACAUACACUGUGUAACAGUGUUUAGAAAGAAAACAUUUUUUUUUCCCACUGAAUUAUCCAGCAAUGGUAACAAGUUUUCCAUCCUUCAGUUUUCUUACGUUCUUUUCUUUAUACUAUUUUGAGGACAAGCUUUCAUGGGAGGUUAUAGUCUCUGAGUGUUUGAAAUGGUCAAACGCUAAAAGGAGGGGGAGAUUACAUACAGAGGGAGAACAGUUUACUAGUUGGAUUAACACUCAUAAUUGGACAGCAUGCCUUAAGGGGAAAGUCUAAAGGAUUGAAUUUCAUCUUAAUGACCAGUGCAUAUUAACGUUAAUGAAUAACAAAAAUAAACAGUUAUAUCCAACGCUGUGUUCAGCUGCAACAAUUUGAUGACCAGGCUUGGAAUCUAAUCUUGACAGAUUCUCAAUCCUUUCAAAGUAAUUGUGAAAUGAAUUGCAUUCAGGAGUCUUAAAGUAUAUACCUUGAGUCUAUCCUGCUAAAAUAGGGCAGCUUGGAAUCAACCUACUUUCAGCCUUAAGCAGCCUUAAUGCAUUGGUAUUUAGGUCCAUAUUUAUUUACGAAAGAAACAGGGUCCUAUUCACUGGUUUACUGUGUAAUCAACUUCAAAAAUUAUUUCAUAUUGGUAGGAGUGCCCAUUAUACUGAUUUUUUUUUUUUUUUUUCCCUUGUUUGUUACAUAGAGUGAUUGUUAAUUAUCAGAAAGGGAACUGAGCAAGGAACUCCAAUGGAAAAAAAGCUUUACUGACAGAUGAGAAUCUGUUUCUGAUUUUCUGAUGAUUAAUCAUGGAUCUCUGUGCUUUCUUACCUUCCCUUCAAUUGCCUGCCCUGGAUAACGUACAUGAAUUGCAGUCUUUGUUCUGUAUAGUGGCAAGUGCAAGGACUACAGAUGUUCUAACUGCAGACAUUUACAAAUGUUAAACUGUAUCAGCAACUAGAAUUACAGUUAAGUUUGGAGGCAAGCUGAAAGUAAAUUUUCAAUCCCAUAGAAUUGACAGAAUGUUAAUGUAAAACCUUAUAAAACAAAUAACUUCUGCCACAAUUCGAAGAGAUAUUUGUUGGAAAUGAAGUCAGCCAUCCACUAGCUUUAUCUCAAAGUAAUAAUUGUACCUAUUUGCUUAUGUGAGUCUUCCUGGGUUUAUGGCCUCCAACCUUGGAGGUUUUCAAUCUUCUUUCUGUUAUCUGUUACAUGUGCUUAAUCACUCUUGUUGUGAACAACAUUUUCCUUAUGCCUUUCCCCUGUUGCAUCUUGUGACUGUUUUUGUGCUGUUUUGUGCUUCUGUGGUGCCCCUUUGAGAACAGACCAGUGCUGUCAUGUCUUUUGUGUAAGCCCUAACUUCAGGUAGCAGAAGAGAACACCUACAUUCCCUGGCCUUCCUUUCUCCAGGCUAAACAAACCUCCUUCUCACAUAUUAUAUGUUCAAGGUCCCUACUCUCUCUGUGGCUUUCCAUUUGAUUCUUAAGAGUGAGAGGAGCUGAGAUCCAAAACAGUAUUUCAGCCAUGGCCUCGCUCAUUCUAAAGCUGUGAUUCUGAAGUGUCUACUUGUUCCACUUUAUAAUAUUACAUUUUCUUAAGUAAAAGUUGAUUUGAUAGUCUGGACUAGUAUUUAGUUGGCUGCAAAUGAUACUGUUAUCAUGAAAAUGGUAAUCCUUGCUUAAAAAAUCUUACUAGUAGUGUUAUCCUAUACAAGGAUCAGAACAUUAUUACUUUCCAAGUUCUGUACUCACUGUUGUAGAACUAGGUCUAAUCUGGUAAGCAUUUUUUAAACUACAGAACAUUUAGUAGCAAUACAUAUUUCCUUGAGAUUUGUGUCUGACUAAAGCAGUGAACAACAGAAAUGUUAUUCACUGGAACACUGACAGCAAUGGCUGAAUCAGGUAGCACUGUCAAAAUGUUACUAUUCUGUUAUCCAGAUACACUAAACAGAUAUAGGUUAAAAAAACCCACAGGCUUUACCUACAUACUAGCUUCUGCUGUUGGUUAUGGCUGGUGGAGUUGCAUUAGAAGAAAAUUACAACUUACAAAAAAAAAAAAAUUUUGAAUACUGGCAUCUUUACUUUGCCCUGUGAAUAAGCAGUGAACUUCUGUUCAAAAGUGGGUGAAUUUGGCAUCCAGCACUAGCACCACAUUCUCUUAUUAAAAUAAACAAACCAGGUUAUUAAAUCAAGAUCAUUAAAUGAGGAAAUUCUGUAGAUUGCUCUGAAACGAUGCCUCCUGUUUAUUUCCAUGUAAGCUACAACAAAUAUAAAGAGCACAAUAACACAGUUUGAUAGAGGAAAUUCUUAGCUACAAAAAACUGUUUUUCAGCACAGUCACUGCCAUUAGCAAUUCAUGUGGAUGAGUUGAUCGAGAUGCUCUUUGUUUCGUGGUGUGACAGCUGUGCAUGGCUGUCUGGCCUGUGUCUUUCAUGUUGCUGUCACUGCUGCUGAAACACAC